rnacentral:ncRNA from 1 species
CGUCCACGCAAGGAGGGCCGGUUAUGGGAAUUACACAUUCGUUGAAUGUCCUCUUGAUAAGUGCAGCGUUCGUAUUCGUAGCGACCAUGCUUUUCAUCUGACGAGUACAAGACGAGCA